CCAGACUCCUACGGGAGGCAGCAGUGGGGAAUAUUGCACAAUGGGCGCAAGCCUGAUGCAGCCAUGCCGCGUGUAUGAAGAAGGCCUUCGGGUUGUAAAGUGCUUUCAGUCGGGAGGAAGGUGGUAAGGUUAAUAACCUUAUCAAUUGACGUUACCGACAGAAGAAGCACCGGCUAACUCCGUGCCAGCAGCCGCGGUAAUACGGGGGGUGCAAGCGUUAAUCGGAAUUACUGGGCGUAAAGCGCACGCAGGCGGUCUGUCAAGUCGGAUGUGAAAUCCCCGGGCUCAACCUGGGAACUGCAUUCGAAACUGGCGGGCUGGAGUCUUGUAGAGGGGGGUAGAAUUCCAGGUGUAGCGGUGAAAUGCGUAGAGAUCUGGAGGAAUACCGGUGGCGAAGGCGGCCCCCUGGACAAAGACUGACGCUCAGGUGCGAAAGCGUGGGGAGCAAACAGGAUUAGAUACCCGUGUA
rnacentral:rRNA from 1 species